rnacentral:rRNA from 1 species
AUGCGACCCUGCCAGGAAGUGCAAGCCGCGCUGCCCCGCUCGGCAGUGCAAGGAGACGCUUACCUUCUCCAACACAAGCCACUGCAAGGGGUGCGGACAGAAGCUGUGUUUGAAGCACAGGUUCCCCGCGGACCACGAGCGCGCGUGCGUGUCGCCCGCGGGAGCCGCCGCCGCCGUGAGGAGGGCCGGCGGCAACUGCUGGCGCGACGAGCAGAAGACCAAGGACGGCGGUGGGUGGGCGCUGCCGCCGUUGAUCCGGAAUUUCAAGAUGUUCUGAAUAGCCUCAAGCUAAAAAUUGUGGCUGGGAUCUGCAACGACGUUCCUCCAGUCCAUCGCCAACAGCUGCAUUCAUCCAAGGAUGAUGCAAGCCAUUUACCAGAAAGAAGAAGCAGAUUUUUGGCGAGGAUUACCUGCCUGGAGUGCAAGGCGGGGGCGCAGCGAGGAUCAGGCUGGCCAGCGGGGCGAGGACCAAGCUGGGGCGGAGGCGGCCAGGCUGGGGCGGUGGCGAGGACCGGGGCGGCGAGCUGGGUCGGAGGCGGCCAGGCUAGGACGGCGGCGAGGACCAAGCUGGGGCGGAGGCAGUCCUGCUGGUUGAGGGAGGAGGAGGAGGGGCUGGCGACGGGGACGAGCGCUGACCUGGAGGAAGAGGAGGCAAGCGCUGCCUGGAGGAAGACGACGACGAUCUGUUUUUAA